rnacentral:rRNA from 1 species
GUAGGGUGCGAGCGUUAAUCGGAAUUACUGGGGCGUAAAGCGUGCGCAGGCGGUUGUGCAAGACAGAUGUGAAAUCCCCCGGGGGCUCAACCUGGGGAGUUGCAUUUGUGACUGUACGGCUAGAGUGUGUCAGAGGGGGGUAGAAUUCCACGUGUAGCAGUGAAAUGCGUAGAGAUGUGGAGGAAUACCGAUGGCGAAGGCAGCCCCCUGGGAUAACACUGACGCUCAUGCACGAAAGCGUGGGGAGCAAACAGGAUUAGAUACCCUGGUAGUCCACGCCCUAAACGAUGUCAACUAGUUGUCGGGUCUUAAUUGACUUGGUAACGCAGCUAACGCGUGAAGUUGACCGCCUGGGGAGUACGGUCGCAAAGAUUAA